GAUGAAGAACGUAGCGAAAUGCGAUAAGUAGUGUGAAUUGCAGAAUUCAGUCAAUCAUCGAAUCUUUGAACGCACAUUGCGCCCCAUGGUAUUCCGUGGGGCAUGCCUGUUCGAGCGUCAUUUACCCCCUCAAGCUCCGCUUGGUGUUGGGCGUCUGUCCCGCUUCGCGCGCGGACUCGCCCCAAAGGUAUUGGCAGCGGUCGUGCCAGCUUCUCGCGCAGCACAUUGCGCUUCUCGAGGCACCGGUGGGCCCGCGUCCAUCAAGCUCACCCCCCCAGUUUGACCUCGGAUCAGGUAGGGAUACCCGCUGAACUUAAGCAUAUCAAUAAGCGGAGGA
rnacentral:misc_RNA from 1 species